UUUGAAUGCCAACGUUCCUCAAUUUCAUGUCUAAAAAUCAUAUACACUUGAUAUUUUGUAUUUUGAGUUGAGUACACAUUCCAAGGAGCCUUAGAGAUGCGUUGAUGUAGCUGAAAAUAUUGAUUGUGCUUUGAGCUUCCCGUAGCUUGGCAUGCAUCACCCGCCUUUCACACGUGUAAUCAUUGGGAAACCCAUCUUACAGAUACAUGGUUGUAAAACAUAACCUUGAAUAGAGCCGAGUUGAAAACCAAGCCAAAGACCGAGGGAAAGAUAUGAAUGUCUAUUGGUUUAUAUUGUAAUUACUAAAAAUUAGGAAACAACAUCAUUUGUUGGAAAUACAAUGGAAAUUAAGAGGCGUGAUAACCAAACCAUACUACAUUAAAGGUUAUAACAAGUUGAAAGUUCUAUUUAUUUAUGUAUGCCCACCUAGAGGAAUUAUGGCUGAAAUGACAUGCCAUGAAAUUGGAGGUGUAGUGCGUGUUGGAGAAACAUGAUGGAAGUUCUUCUCAUAGAAACACAUGAGACACAUUAGUAAUAACAUAAUGAUCAUGUAUCAUGGAAAGACUUGUUAGCCAAGUACUAUUAUUUUCACAUCAAGAUACAAAUGGAAGUGAAGGUAAAUUACAAAGCUAAUGUAAUCAUUCCAUAGACAUAGAGUAAAGCUGGAAAUACAAAGAAGAACAGAUGCACAAAUGGACAUUACUCAAAUUAUCACAUGGAGAUCAAAAUUUAAAGAUUCACAGAAGAAACUAUAUGCUAAUAUGCAAUGUGCAAAUAUAUAAUAGCAUGGUAAAAAAUAAAUAGCAAUGAUAUAUCCCCUAUUAUAGUGGACAUAGAUAUCGAAGGUGCUGAUCAUGGUGUUGUCAAAAGCAGACUGUCUAUAUAUGUUGAUGAGGUUGCGCUUCUCCUUCUAGCAUACAAUGUUGAACAUUACCAUCAACACUUCUAAAACAACAUAGAAAGGAACCUCGUCAUCUAAAAUUUGGGUUAUAUAAUAAUGCUAUAUAGUCAAUCUGAGCAGGACAUGAUAAUAAAUACACAUGAUCGGUAAACUUCAAAACCAUACAACAUAUGAGCAUAUUGCAAAAAGAUAGAGAUGCUACAUGAGCAAUGCAUAUGAAGAAACUUAGGGAGCACACCUUCACAUCAUCAAAUGUAUGAUGCACGUUGUCAAUGCCAAGGAACACCCAAAGCAAAGAUUACACAGAGUCUAUCACAACCCUAGUCCUAUUAAAUCCCUAAGACAACAUCACACCUCAAUCAUAGCCAAGAAUAUUGCUAUAACAAUCAAUAAAUGAAGAAACCAUGUAAUAGCAACCGACUGCAUCAACCUGCCCGCUUGCUAGCAUUCUUCUUAAUAAGACAUGGCUACCCUAGUGAGUCAAUCAUAACUAUUACUACCUGAAACAAAAGCCAAUGAACCACAACAAUUUAUUCUAUAAUGCAGAAUUUGAAAGCUAAUCAACAUUCACACUGAUUUAGAAAAUACAAAAAGGUGAAUGGACACCUUAGGUGUACAUAUUCAAAGCACACACCCAAGAUUUGAAAGCUCAUUCACAUUCACAUAGAUUUAGAGAGUACAAAAGGGUGAAUUGACAGCUUAGGUGUACAUAUUCAAAGCACACACCCAAUCAGAUACUUCCAAAAAUUAUGAGAAAACAAACCAUAUUCAUGAUCUCUUUUCUUUGCUAUCCCCUUCCAUGUUUGCAUGACACACACCUAGCUACAUGAGAAGAAAUUAAGCAACUUUGUGAACAUGCUACAAAAAAACAGUGUUAAGAGUUUUAGUUUCUAAUAUAACACACAUGGAUGGGGCAUAGAUCAUGACACUGCAGAAUAUGGUAAUUGCAGAUCGCAACAACUGUCCAAAAAACAUUUAUACACAUACCAUUUAAUUGGGCGGGCAAUGAUGGAUCCUGCCCAAUCGAAGGAGAAUUUGUCUCGCCCAAGUUGAUUUAUCGCAUCUCGAAAACCAAAUAUUUUGCUACCCUAAAAUGAAGCCAAUUUCGUGAAAGCAGGAACAAAACCUGAGCAACGACAAAGAAAAAAGCUAAUUUGCGCCAUAAUUUGCAUCCAAAGGAGGAGGGGGAGGUCCCUCAAAGGUCUCUCUCAUAGGGCCAUAUGAGGAAGAAGCCCCUCACUGUGACGUGCUCCAUGGCUGCUGGAUCGGAGCUCCAUGCCCCCUCACUCCUUAGCCGGAACAGACCUGCGAGGGUUCGACUGCCAUGCCGCAAUGUCAUGAUGCGACUCCUCAUGCGAGGUGGGAUCUGGCCCUCUCACCCCUCUCCUAGAACGGAUCUACAUGACCACAACAAAAGCAAUGCUUUGGGUGUGGCGGAUCUAGCCUCUGCCUCACCUACUCGAGAAGGGGAGACAACAGCGGUGGGCGCC
rnacentral:lncRNA from 1 species